CCCUUAGAUGUCCGGGGCUGCACGCGCGCUACACUGACUGGCUCAGCGUGUGCCUACCCUACGCCGGCAGGCGCGGGUAACCCGUUGAACCCCAUUCGUGAUGGGGAUCGGGGAUUGCAAUUAUUCCCCAUGAACGAGGAAUUCCCAGUAAGUGCGGGUCAUAAGCUUGCGUUGAUUAAGUCCCUGCCCUUUGUACACACCGCCCGUCGCUACUACCGAUUGGAUGGUUUAGUGAGGCCCUCGGAUCGGCCCCGCCGGGGUCGGCCCACGGCCCUGGCGGAGCGCUGAGAAGACGGUCGAACUUGACUAUCUAGAGGAAGUAAAANUCGUANCA
rnacentral:rRNA from 1 species